UUAUAUGGUUGAAAAAAAAAGAAAAACCCUCUCUGUUUUCUCUCACGCACCACGCUCCCUCUCUGUUUUCUCUCACGCACCACGCUCCCUCUCGGCCUCUCUCUGCUCUCCUGCUCUUUCUCAGUCACCGUCGACUCACUCACUCACGGCCGCACGGCGUCUCGGUCUCUGGCUCUGCUCGUGCGCCGACUCGCCCUCUCUUCUCCUGGCUCUCCAUCGAACUGAACUGAUCGAAGCUCUCUGAAGUUUCAUAGAGAUAGAUGGAGAUGGGUUCCUCCCCUUCACCGGACAUAUACAUCCCAGAGCAGUGGUCAGAGGCUGCAGGGUCCAUUGCAGACAGUUCAACGCCUCCUAUUACUCUCAUAUGUGGGGCCAAGAACUGUGGGAAGACAAUCUUCUCCCGCUAUCUCCUAAACGUCCUCUUGCACAGAUAUAGCAGAGUCGCUUAUCUGGAUACUGAUGUAGGCCAACCUGAGUUCACUGCUCCUGCUUUUCUAUCACUUACCAUUGUCCACCAAGAAACUCCUGAUAUAACCAUUCCGUGCCUGAAAACACCAGAGAGAUGCCUUUUCUUUGGUGAUGUUUCUUCAAAGAGAGAUCCAACAUCAUACUUAAAAUUAUGUAUUUGCCAUAUAUGAUUAUUAUCGAAAGGAGUAUUGCUCCCUUGAUAAGGAAGAAAAUUCUCCUAUGAUUGUCUUGCCUCUUAUUGUGAAUACUCCUGGAUGGGUGAAAGGUGUUGGUUAUUCUGUAUUAGUGGACAUGUUGAAAUAUAUUUGUCCAACACAUGUGGUGAAGAUAAGCAUCUCCAGUGAAAAUAAGAAUUUACCUGCUGGACAGUUCUGGUUAGAUGGGGAACAUAAUGGAACAAUCAACUUAAUUGAGAUAAAUUCAGCUCGUCAGGACUCACUAAAUAGAUCGGUGCUUGUUCAGAAGGAUGCACGUCUCCUGCGUGAUUUACGAAUAAUGGCAUAUUUCAGACAGUGCUUUCCCAGUGAUUCAGAUAUUUCUACAAUCAAGGAACUUGCACAUUCGUUGGCCUCCCACUGUCCUUAUGAAGUUCCCAUUGCAAGCAUAAAGAUUCAACAUCUUCAUCGUGAGGUCCCAAGCUCUGAGAUGUUCUACAGUUUGAAUGCUAGCAUUGUUGGUUUAGCAGUUGAUUCUGAAGGACCUAAAAAUUUACCUUGGUGUCUUGGUCUUGGGAUUGUGAGGGGUAUUGACACAAUCAAAGGUGUGCUCUAUGUGAUUACACCUGUGCCACAUAGUUCUCUGGAUAAAGUCAACCUCUUGCUACAAGGUUAUAUCCAAAUUCCCAUUUGUUUAUUGCAGGUCCAGGGAUGCAUCUCGCCUUACAUGUCAGCAGAUGUAUUGACUACAAGUUAGUAAUUUUCUCGAGGUAGCAAAGAGGACCAUUGUAGUAACUUGGUAAUAACCAAUUAUUAUACAUUCUUCCUUUCUCAUGGAAGCACAUAGAGAGUAUAACUUACGUAUGCCUGAGUUAUGAAAAUCCAACCAAUUUUGUAGGAAAAAAGAGGAUGUAAAAUUGUCUCUCUAAUUAAAUUCGUUUGACUUAUGUGUUA